AAAGACUAAAAAAAAAGACUACAUUUAUUUAUAUAUAGAAAUCAAAAAGCCCUCUCUUAUAUAUAUAUUUGCAUCUUCUGGAAGAUGAAUGGUGUAGUAAAAGAGUUUCUUAGGAGUAUCAGUGUAGAGCCAUUUUGGCAUUCUGUCCACCUCCCAGCUUGCUGAGGACUGAGGAGGGGGCCAAAGUGCCAAACUAGCUCUGCAGCUCUCUCUCUUUCACAAAACCUCUAAGAUUACGUACUUUGUGCGCGUAUGGAAACAACCUCCAUCUCUACCUCCAACAGAUGAAAUAUGUAGGGCAACUGGCUGGGGACUGGAUGUUGGAUGAAGCAAAUUAUUAUUUUCCUGAAAUUGAGAAACUGUUGCCUGGCGAUAGUGGACUAGUGGCAAGUCAAGUUUUCUUUGAGUCCGGCCUAUCCGAAACAAUUUUCCUCUCGUCACAAGGUAGUGAUAGGGUCUACCUUACCGUGGUAUUAUACUGGAUUUUUUGUUGUAUGUAAUCUAUAAUCACCAUCAAAUGUCAACUAGGAGGAGAUCCACUUUAAGUUUAAAGUCCAUGGGGAUAAUACGUUAUUAAGUUGAUGUUACAUACAUCAGACAUGUUAUUUAUCAAAGGUGUCGCCUUCGCUGCUUA